rnacentral:rRNA from 1 species
AUACCGCAUAAAAACUUUAAACACAAGUUUUAAGUUUGAAAGAUGCAAUUGCAUCACUCAAAGAUGAUCCCGCGUUGCAUUAGCUAGUUGGUGAGGUAAAGGCUCACCAAGGCGAUGAUACAUAGCCGACCUGAGAGGGUGAUCGGCCACAUUGGGACUGAGACACGGCCCAAACUCCUACGGGAGGCAGCAGUAGGGAAUCUUCGGCAAUGGACGAAAGUCUGACCGAGCAACGCCGCGUGAGUGAAGAAGGUUUUCGGAUCGUAAAACUCUGUUGGUAGAGAAGAACGUUGGUGAGAGUGGAAAGCUCAUCAAGUGACGGUAACUACCCAGAAAGGGACGGCUAACUACGUGCCAGCAGCCGCGGUAAUACGUAGGUCCCGAGCGUUGUCCGGAUUUAUUGGGCGUAAAGCGAGCGCAGGUGGUUUAUUAAGUCUGGUGUAAAAGGCAGUGGCUCAACCAUUGUAUGCAUUGGAAACUGGUAGACUUGAGUGCAGGAGAGGAGAGUGGAAUUCCAUGUGUAGCGGUGAAAUGCGUAGAUAUAUGGAGGAACACCGGUGGCGAAAGCGGCUCUCUGGCCUGUAACUGACACUGAGGCUCGAAAGCGUGGGGAGCAAACAGGAUUAGAUACCCUGGUAGUCCACGCCGUAAACGAUGAGUGCUAGAUGUAGGGAGCUAUAAGUUCUCUGUAUCGCAGCUA